GUGCUCACUUGGGCAGCACAUAUACUAAAAUUGGGACAAUACAGAGAAGAUUAGCAUGGCCCCU
ensembl:snRNA LOC120093920 U6 spliceosomal RNA